CCUACGGGUGGCAGCAGUGGGGGAUAUUGCACAAUGGGGGGAACCCUGAUGCAGCGACGCCGCGUGAGCGAAGAAGUACCUCGGUAUGUAAAGCUCUAUCAGCAGGGAAGAAAAUGACGGUACCUGACUAAGAAGCCCCGGCUAAAUACGUGCGAGCAGCCGCGGUAAUACGUAGGGGGCAAGCGUUAUCCGGAUUUACUGGGUGUAAAGGGAGCGGAGGAGGCGUGGCAAGUCUGGUGUGAAAGCCCGGGGCCCAACCCCGUGCAUGCAUUGGAAACUGGCGGGCUGGAGUGUCGGAGGGGAAGGUGGAAUUCCUAGUGUAGCGGUGAAAUGCGUAGAUAUUAGGAGGAACACCGGUGGCGAAGGCGGCCUGCUGGACGAUGACUGACGCUGAGGCUCGAAAGCGUGGGGAGCAAACAGGAUUAGAUACCCGAGUAGUC
rnacentral:rRNA from 1 species